rnacentral:RNase_P_RNA from 3 species
GGUCCUGAGUAAUCGCGGUCAAUGAAUGUUGGCUGAGGAAAGUCCACUCUCGCACAAGCUGAGAUGCUUGUAGUGUUCGUGCUCGGUGAAAAAAUAAGCCGAGGAAUCAUUAAGUUGAUUACGGCGAAAGAACGAGCUAAGGUUAUUGUUACUAUGCUUUAGUAUUUCAUAAAGUGCCACAGAAACGACUAAUUUGAGAAAUCAAAUUAUUGGAACGCAGUAAACCCCGCGAGCGGGAAACCCAAACUUUGGUAGGGGAGCUUCACACACGGAAAUUGAACCAAGUGUGGGGGAAGAACAUUAUGUUCUUGAGAUAGAUGAUUACUACUUAAUCACUUUGUCCUGAAGUUGUGGUUAAGCACAAAACAUGGCUUACAGGG